GGGUCCAUCGUAUAAUGGCAGUACAACGGCCUCCAAAUCCGUUAGCGUAGGUUCGAUUCCUACUGGGCCCG
rnacentral:tRNA from 1 species